AGCGAACGCUGGCGGCGUGGUUAAGGCAUGCAAGUCGAGCGAUCCCGCAGCAAUGCGGGAUAGCGGCAAACGGGUGAGUAACGCGUAGGUAACCUACCCUGAAGUGUGGGACAACCCUGCGAAAGCGGGGCUAAUACCACAUGCGCUCGCAGACUGCAUGGUCUGCGAGGAAAGAUGGCCUCGACCGAAAGGUUGCUAUCACUUUAGGAGGACCUGCGUCCCAUCAGCUAGUUGGUAGGUAACGGCCUACCAAGGCAUAUGACGGGUAGCUAGCCUUAGAGGGCGGUUAGCCACACUGGGACUGAGACACUGCCCAGACUCCUACGGGAGGCUGCAGUCGAGAAUAUUUGGC
rnacentral:rRNA from 1 species